rnacentral:rRNA from 1 species
UACGUAGGUGGCGAGCGUUGUCCAGAUUUACUGGGCGUAAAGGGAGCGUAGGCGGACUUUUAAGUGAGAUGUGAAGUACUCGGGCUCAACUUGAGUGCUGCAUUUCAAACUGGAAGUCUAGAGUGCAGGAGAGGAGAAUGGAAUUCCUAGUGUAGCGGUGAAAUGCGUGGAGAUUAGGAAGAACACCAGUGGCGAAGGCGAUUCUCUGGACUGUGACUGACGCUGAGGCUCGAAAGCGUGGGGAGCAAACAGG